UGGAAGUAAAAGUCGUAACAAGGUCUCCGUAGGUGAACCUGCGGAGGGAUCAUUUACAAGUGACCCCGGUUUACCACCGGGAUGUUCAUAACCCUUUGUUGUCCGACUCUGUUGCCUCCGGGGCGACCCUGCCUUCGGGCGGGGGCUCCGGGUGGACACUUCAAACUCUUGCGUAACUUUGCAGUCUGAGUAAAUUUAAUUAAUAAAUUAAAACUUUCAACAACGGAUCUCUUGGUUCUGGCAUCGAUGAAGAACGCAGCGAAAUGCGAUAAGUAAUGUGAAUUGCAGAAUUCAGUGAAUCAUCGAAUCUUUGAACGCACAUUGCGCCCCCUGGUAUUCCGGGGGGCAUGCCUGUUCGAGCGUCAUUUCACCACUCAAGCCUCGCUUGGUAUUGGGCAACGCGGUCCGCCGCGUGCCUCAAAUCGACCGGCUGGGUCUUCUGUCCCCUAAGCGUUGUGGAAACUAUUCGCUAAAGGUGGUUCGGGAGGCUACGCCGUAAAACAACCCCAUUUCUAAGGUUGACCUCGGAUCAGGUAGGGAUACCCGCUGAACUUAAGCAUAUCAAUAAGCGGAGGAAAAGAAACCAACAAGGGAUUGCUCUAGUAACGGCGAGUGAAGCAGCAAUAGCUCAAAUUUGAAAUCUGGCGUCUUCGGCGUCCGAGUUGUAAUUUAA
rnacentral:rRNA from 1 species